GCCGGGGUAGCCAAGCGGUAAGGCGGCGGGCCGCAGACCCGUUUAUCGGGGGUUCAAAUCCCUCCCCCGGCU
rnacentral:tRNA from 1 species